GGAAGGGUGGCCGAGUGGUUUAAGGCACCGGUCUUGAAAACCGGCGUGGGUGCAAGCCCACCGUGAGUUCGAAUCUCACCCCUUCCGCCA
rnacentral:tRNA from 2 species